rnacentral:rRNA from 1 species
AGCAGUCGCCGCGGUAAUACGGAGGGUGCAAGCGUUAAUCGGAAUUACUGGGCGUAAAGCGCACGCAGGCGGUUUGUUAAGUCUGCUGUGAAAUCCCCGGGCUCAACCUGGGAAUGGCAGUGGAUACUGGCAAGCUAGAGUGUGUCAGAGGAUGGUGGAAUUCCCGGUGUAGCGGUGAAAUGCGUAGAGAUCGGGAGGAACAUCAGUGGCGAAGGCGGCCAUCUGGGACAACACUGACGCUGAGGCACGAAAGCGUGGGGAGCAAACAGGAUUAGAUACCCCGGUAGUCCCUGUCUCUUAUAA